UGUACCUUCAAGUUUGCAACUUCAAAUAAAUAAAUAAAUAAAUAAACCUCGUGAUCUCUCUUGUCCAGUCAGAUUGCCUCUUGCAAACUGUCCCGACUUAAAUCGGCGAUCACGUGAGCUAGCAUCAGAAUAGUGUAGUGAAUACGGUGUUUGUUCUGAUGCCAACUCGCAACUCAGAUCAGUUGCUUCUCGCAUCAUGCGAUUCUCGUUUUGAGACUUGGUUGGUGAAUACGGCCAUUAGAAUAUUAACAUGUGGAGCAAAGUUCUAUUUACUGGUAUGUCCAGAUUCAGUCUACAAUCUGAUUCUAGGAGAACUUAUUUGGAGAGAACAUUUUACAAGGUAUCAGCCAUCGCACAUUACAGAAAUCAAUCAUUUCAGAGAUGAAGUCUAUUAGUAGGGCAGAGGAUAAUUUCUGUCCGCAUAGGCAUAGUCUUUUGGUCCAAUAUCUCAAUGAACAGUAAAUUAAUAGAAUGAAUUGACCAACUAAAUUUUCUGACCUAGCUUAUGACUAAGUAUGCAUGGGAUUGCUAUUGAAAGACUAAUUGCUGCUCUUAUUUGAUCUCUCAGAAGCCUUGCU
rnacentral:lncRNA from 1 species